rnacentral:rRNA from 1 species
AACGAACGCUGGCGGCAUGCCUAACACAUGCAAGUCGAACGAGACCUUCGGGUCUAGUGGCGCACGGGUGCGUAACGCGUGGGAACCUGCCUUUAGGUUCGGAAUAACUCAGAGAAAUUUGAGCUAAUACCGGAUGAUGUCUUCGGACCAAAGAUUUAUCGCCUUUAGAUGGGCCCGCGUAAGAUUAGCUAGUUGGUGGGGUAAAGGCCUACCAAGGCGACGAUCUUUAGCUGGUCUGAGAGGAUGAUCAGCCACACUGGGACUGAGACACGGCCCAGACUCCUACGGGAGGCAGCAGUGGGGAAUAUUGGACAAUGGGCGAAAGACCUGAUCCAGCAAUGCCGCGUGAGUGAUG